rnacentral:rRNA from 1 species
UACAGAGGGGGCAAGCGUUGUUCGGAAUUACUGGGCGUAAAGGGCGCGUAGGCGGCCUUCUAAGUCGAACGUGAAAUCCCCAGGCUCAACCCGGGAACUGCGUCCGAUACUGGAAGGCUUGAAUCCGGGAGAGGGAUGUGGAAUUCCAGGUGUAGCGGUGAAAUGCGUAGAUAUCUGGAGGAACACCGGUGGCGAAGGCGACAUCCUGGACCGGUAUUGACGCUGAGGCGCGAAAGCCAGGGGAGCAAACGGG